rnacentral:rRNA from 1 species
ACGAAGGGUGCAAACGUUGCUCGGAAUCAUUGGGCGUAAAGCGCACGUAGGCGGCUUGCCAAGUCGGACGUGAAAUCCCUCAGCUCAACUGAGGACGUGCAUCCGAAACUGGCGAGCUUGAGUGCUGAAGAGGAUCGCGGAAUUCCCGGUGUAGAGGUGAAAUUCGUAGAUAUCGGGAGGAACACCAGUGGCGAAGGCGGCGAUCUGGGCAGACACUGACGCUGAGGUGCGAAAGCGUGGGGAUCAAACAGGA